GACGAACGCUGGCGGCGUGCUUAACACAUGCAAGUCGAACGGUAAUGCUCCAGCUUGCUGGAGUGGACCAGUGGCGAACGGGUGAGUAACACGUGAGCAACCUGCCCCAGACUCUGGAAUAACCGCUGGAAACGGCGUCUAAUACUGGAUACGAAACUGGCCCGCAUGGGGGUGGUUUGGAAAGUUCUUCGGUUUGGGAUGGGCUCGCGGCCUAUCAGCUUGUUGGUGGGGUAGUGGCUCACCAAGGCGACGACGGGUAGCCGGCCUGAGAGGGCGACCGGCCACACUGGGACUGAGACACGGCCCAGACUCCUACGGGAGGCAGCAGUGGGGAAUAUUGCACAAUGGGCGAAAGCCUGAUGCAGCGACGCCGCGUGAGGGAUGACGGCCUUCGGGUUGUAAACCUCUUUCAGCAGGGAAGAAGCGAAAGUGACGGUACCGGCAGAAGAAGCACCGGCUAACUACGUG
rnacentral:rRNA from 1 species